GUAAUCCACCAGAAUUGGCAGUGUUUGGCCUGUCAGAAACAAAAAAUGCAUUUGUUAAGCCGUCUCUACCCAGUUGCUUGGUGACUGAUAAGGACCAAUUCAAGAAUCCUGCCAGUUUACCUCUAAACCCAGCUCCAAUACAACCUUUUCGCAAAGACAUCGAGUCCCUGGACACGUCGUAUGAAGGUUUUGAAAAGUACUUAGACCCCUAUCUGACGACCAGCAGACUUCACCAUCGUCCAUACUCGGCAGAACAUUUAAAUAGGAUUUCAAAUUCAAAAGGUGUGAUCACGUAUUACACUUGUGCGAAACAACCUUGGGUUAGAUCACCGAAACCAAACUCGGAUAAAUGUUUACCAUUAAGUAGACCAAAAUCAAUGUUCGACAGAGAAAAAUUUAAAGAGGACUUUAGAGA